ACGGAGGAUGCAAGCGUUAUCCGGAAUCAUUGGGCGUAAAGCGUCCGCAGGUGGUUAAUCAAGUCUGCUGUUAAAGACAGAAGCUCAACUUCUGAUAGGCAGUGGAAACUGGUUAACUAGAGUAUGGUAGGGGUUGAGGGAAUUCCCAGUGUAGCGGUGAAAUGCGUAGAUAUUGGGAAGAACACCAGUGGCGAAGGCGCUCAACUGGGCCAUAACUGACACUCAGGGACGAAAGCUAGGGUAGCGAAAGGGAUUAGAUACCCCUGUAGUCUUAGCUGUAAACGAUGAACACUAGGCGUUGCUUGUAUCGACCCGAGCAGUGCCGUAGCCAACGCGUUAAGUGUUCCGCCUGGGGAGUACGCACGCAAGUGUG
rnacentral:rRNA from 1 species